rnacentral:rRNA from 1 species
AUUGAACGCUGGCGGCGUGCUUAACACAUGCAAGUCGAGCGGUAACAGGCGUAGCAAUACGUGCUGACGAGCGGCGAACGGGUGAGUAAUGCUUCGGAAUCUUCCUCGUAGUGGGGAAUAACCUGGGGAAACUCAGGCUAAUACCGCAUACGAACUAUGGUUGAAAGCGGGGGAUCGCAAGACCUCGCGCUAUGAGAUGAGCCGAAGUCGGAUUAGCUAGUUGGUGAGGUAAAGGCUCACCAAGGCGACGAUCCGUAGCUGGUCUGAGAGGACGACCAGCCACACUGGGACUGAGACACGGCCCAGACUCCUACGGGAGGCAGCAGUGGGGAAUAUUGGACAAUGGGGGCAACCCUGAUCCAGCGACGCCGCGUGUGUGAAGAAGGCCUGCGGGUUGUAAAGCACUUUUAGUGGGGAUGAAAAGCACAGGGCUAAUACUCUUGUGUCUUGACCUAACCCAAAGAAAAAGCACCGGCUAACUCUGUGCCAGCCGCCGCGGUAAAAC